rnacentral:rRNA from 1 species
GUAGGGAAUAUUGGGCAAUGGAGGCAACUCUGACCCAGCCAUGCCGCGUGCAGGAUGACGGCCCUCUGGGUUGUAAACUGCUUUUAUACGGGAAGAAAAAAUACUACGUGUAGUAUACUGACGGUACCGUAAGAAUAAGGAUCGGCUAACUCCGUGCCAGCAGCCGCGGUAAUACGGAGGAUUCAAGCGUUGUCCGGAUUUAUUGGGUUUAAAGGGUGCGUAGGCGGAUCUUUAAGUCAGUGGUGAAAGCCUGCAGCUUAACUGUAGAAUUGCCAUUGAAACUGAAGAUCUUGAAUGUGGUUAAAGUAGGCGGAAUGUAUCAUGUAGCGGUGAAUUGCUUAGAUAUGAUACAGAACACCGAUAGCGAAGGCAGCUUGCUGAACCAUUAUUGACGCUGAGGCACGAAAGCGUGGGGAGCGAACAGGAUUAGAUACCCUAGUAGUCC